GAAAGGGUUCAUUACCAUUUCCUGAAUCUCAAGAGAAAGCAGGAUUCCAACGCCAUACCUACAGCAACUAGAAAGAAAAAAAUAUCUAUCCCUAGACAGAACAUGCCAGUGAUGACUUGAAUAACAAGAGGAGAAAUUCUGUCCUGCAGGCUGCCCAUAUACCUGCUUCUCAAAAGAGAAGAAGAACUACAUAUCCCAGAGGACCUCAUGGUCAAAGAAAGAAGAUAUGUCAUGGAAAUCAUGGGAUCUAACUCAAAGGAUCGGGCGCUCUCUCUGGCAGCCAGGCAGAGGGGUGGAUGUGCUUCCAAGCCGUGCGCCUUCAUUCAAGAUUGUUCCCAGCAGGCAUUUUCUACAUACUUGGUCCAGGUCAUGGGAGAUACUCUUUUCUGUGCUUCUUCUCUCCAAGUAGGGAAGAAAGCAUUCCUACUAGAUCUCUCAUGUACUGAAGAAGAGAAUGAAGACUAGAAGAGCUCAUACUGACUCUGAGUCUAGCUUGUAAAAACAAAACGGCAUUGAAAAUGGUAACUUAUUGGAAAAUGGAGAAGUGGAAUGCAAUAAUAUACUUUAUCCUGUUACAAUUAAGAUCAUUAAUGAUAAAGAAGAGAGAUUUCUAAAAACAAAGACUGUCACAAGCCAUGCUACAAGUCAACUGUGGCACCUAAAGCUAACAACACAAUUAACCCAUUCCUCUGCAUAACCAUGAAGUAUGUCAUUGUUCAUGAGCAGGAAUUACUUCUUCCCCAAUAACCUGACAGACAGGAAAAACAAACAGAGUCUGCAAUAGAAUUAUGGAGUGAAUCAGUCUCAUUUUACACUUCAGCAGCCUCCAAUUGCUUUGCAAGAGUGAUAAUCACAUGGACUAAAGAACUAAGAGAACUAGCCUCAAAGGACAUUGCAAUCAAUUUCCUGCUAAAUAAAAUGUGUUUAUCAGUGAUGUUCAUGGGAAAAGUGUCUAUGGAUGCUAACAGCAAUUUAGCCUGCAAAAUGGGAGCUCACACAUUUCCAUCUGUGGCUAUGGACCCUGGAAAUGCAGGUGGUAUAAGAAACCUCAGGUGAACCGUUUGACAAAGAAUUUUAACAUGGUGGGAAGAAGUGGAGCUGAGAUAACAAAGAAGCAAGUGAAGCGUCUUUAUUUUAAGAGUUUUUGGGGAUAACUCUGAAGUAGAUUAGGGUAAAUAGUUUCAGCUAAAAUAUAAAUGUAGCUGAAAAUGUAGGCUAAUCAAAGCUGGAUGUUUUCUGAAGUGAUUCCAGGUCCACCAGUUAAAGAUUAAAUAUUUCUUUAUUGAUGUAAAAUCUUUUUCAUUUUAAUAUUUACAUUUCCUUCAGUUUUGUUUUUAAAAAGUUAUUAUUUUCCUGAGAUUAAUUAUUGAUGAGAUAGCUUUCUUGUUAAAACUGAAAAAAAAAAUCACCUCAAAAUAUAUAUUUUUUUAGAAUUAACAGAAAACUUAGAAAACAAUUCUAGUUCUGUUGAAAGUAGAUGUGAUUCAUGUGGUAAAAAUUCCAUUGAGUUCAGCCAAUUCCAUUGAUUUUCACUGACUGGAAAGGUUUGUAAGUAUUUAGUAAAAGAAUAACAAUCUCUUUUUGAUUCUAUAGUUAUACUAAACCUCUGAAAAAGGUUCAAUCUUUCAAAGGAAAGUAAUCCAAAGUUAAAAAUAGAGAAAAUAAAAUACCAGUUAUUAGCCUGAUUUCCACUAAACGCUAUUUCAAAAUGGAGGGAAAGACAUCGCAUUUAAAAAUCUGCAAAAUUACACAUCUCAGUUGUCUCAUGUGGAACACGGAAUUACUCGAUGAAUAAUGGUAUAAGUAAAAUAAUAAGUAUUUCUUCAGAAAAUAGAGAUGUGUAAAUAUAUUAGAAAUAUAUUUAGAGAAGUGUGAAAUAAACCAGCACUACCUUCUGAGUUUAUCUUAUGAUGAUCAUUUAUUCCAGUAAGAAAGAAAUAUUUCAUUUGAAAUGUAUUGUUGAAUUUUAACGUGAUAUAAUAAAUUGCUUCUUUGUGUUGUAUUAUUUUUAUAACCUGGGAAUGCAAAUUUAUCAAAAUGGAACACAGUAAUGUUUGAGUCAUUACUUUUUCCAAAGUUCUCUCUGUUAAGAAAAAUCUGAGCAUUUUUUUUUCUACCCAAAUAAUAAAAAUAAAUUUUGUAACGUCUAUCCUAUGUUUUCAGAUGAGCUAUACCUGGUAGUUGACAGAAAACAGCUUUUAUUCACUCUCCAUCUUCCCAGAACAUUAAAGAAUAUAGCAAUUUAUUUGAAACUGUUGAGCAUUUCAUUAAAAUUAGAUCAAUAGAAACUCUUCAGCUGAGAUUUCUGAUUAAUUCUCCUUCUAAUAUUGAACAGAUUAAGGAAUCAAGAGCAAUUACACAGCCAAAGAAGUUAAACAGAUACAUUUUCUAUCAGCUACUGAAUUAUUUGAAAUGUUACUGAAAUUUCUGCACUUGGAGAAGGUUGGAGAAGACCAACAUUUUAAAAGAGUUUUUUUUCUUAUCAACAGGAUCUGCAACAAACCAAAAUGGAUAUACAGCGAACAAGCUUGAUUUAGACACUUUAGAAUGCAGAACAAUUUUCUAGUUUAUCCUCAGUUUAACUCUACAAGUUGUUAUUUUAAUAAAGCUGUUUCUCUGUUAGGUAGUCCAGCUAUUUUAUUUCACAUUCAUCUCCUUUUUAAUAUAGUGAGUUGAAAAUCUGCUUGAAACUUGUUAUACUCACAGUUUCUGAGAAAAUAAAUUUCCACUGUACAGCUAUAUUGGUUUAGGGAGCUAGUAUCACCAGAAGUUGGCCUGCAUUUUGAUGUUGGUCAAUUUUCAUUUGACAUAAUGAUACCCUGCUUGUCUGACAAUAAAAUGUCAAGGGUAUGUGAUCUGAAGUACACUGAUCAAUCAUAUUCAUUUGGUUACUGAAAAAAAAAGCUGUAUGAGAUCUAAGAUCAAUAACUUGUACCCCUAUAUCAGAAAUAAAGAAAGAAGGAAACAAAGGAAACAAAGGAAGGAAACAAAGGAAGGAAGGAAACAAAGGAAGGAAGGAAACAAAGGAAGGAAGGAAGGAAACAAAGGAAGGAAG
ensembl:lncRNA